rnacentral:lncRNA from 10 species
AAACGGCUGGGUAGGAAGCACGCUAGCAGGGGCCUCUGGCCUUGCUGAGGGUCCCUGUUUCCCCUUUUCCUUCCUUUUCACCCAACAAAACCCUGCUUUACUCACCCUUCAAACCAUCUAUGAGCCUAAAUUGUCGUGGUCGUGGAAUGGACAAGGACCCAGUCUUUAGCUGAACUAAGGGAAAGUCCUGCUUUUUGGCGCGCAACAGGGGAGCUCAAGAAACAGGCCUCACUCACGGCAUAUGGAACUAACCACGCCCCUAACUAAGAAGGCACACCUUAGUUGCAGUUAGCACACAAUUAAAGCAACUCUCCAAGUUUUACCUUAAAGUUCAAAAUUGCUAGGAGUUGAAACUACUAGAAAUAUAUUUACAUGCAAGAGUCAAAGAAACUUUGAACUAUUUAUGGCCUUUAAUAAUUAAGUAAGGUAUACUCCUGUGAUCAAGACUUGGAGCAUAUUUGUUUCUCUCUGCCUGGUUCCUCUAGAAAUUGGAAACUAUCAUGUGUGACACAUGUGCUCAUGGAUUAUUGUCCGAAGCAAGACAUGUGACCAAGCCUAACAUCAACUGGGUGAAGAGCUAUAUGUUCCUUUCUCAAGAGGCACUACAAGUGACAUGCCACUGGGCAGUGGCUGCUAUGGAAACAAGUCCUGAUGCAUGACAGAGGAGGAAAGCUAUCAGUCCUGUGGUUAAAGAGGGGACAUUUCCACUAGAUUUCCAAUUGCAUAUGGAAUCAAGAAAGAAGCAACUGGGAAUUACUUCACACAGCAAAUCUAAGGAAGAGACUGUUAAUUUGGCUUUGCCAGUUACUCCUUCUCAAGGCCCAUAAUUAAAUGUGAGUUUCUGGGCACUAAUGCAAAAGCCAGAUUUGCUCUGAGCCUGCGGGGCUUAUAAAUUGGUUGCUUUUGCAAACUGUUAUUGUUCCUUUAGGUCAAGAGGGGAAGAAUUAUUGACUUUGUUCAGUUGAAUUAAAUGCUCCCCUUGUGGUUUGAAAGAAGAAAUUUGCCUCCCUCACCCUCUAAGAUUACAUACAAAGGGAGAAUUGUUUUUGGGCAAGUUAGACUUGAUGAAAAAAUAUACAGUUCUACUGGAUUAUAGCACUGUGUGUUGCCUUAGAGUCACAUGACUCCAGUUUUGCCUUCUAUAUGAAGCCCAAGGCUUUCAUCUUUUUCUGAUACAGUGGGCUCUUCAGCUUUAAGCACUGACUUUUGUGUGCUAGUAUACAAUGCCUGUACACUCCCACAAAAAGCUCAAGAUGUCCUUACACGUAUUUGCUGUAGGUGUCCUUCAGCCGAUUUCAGUGCCUAGAAUCUAGAUGCUUUGCACCUAGUUUCACCUUUGCUCACAGAUGCUAGUGCCUUUUAGAAUCCCAAGAGGCCAAAGUAAAACUGAAAAGCCUAGGAGGACCUGGUGUGGCAAAAUCUCAUCAUGAUCCAUGCAACAGUGGAGGCAAUGUUACGCUCUGCCUCAGGUUAUACUUCUAUGCAAAUUAAAAAUAAAAUUCAUAGGAAGCAAUUAUAUUAGAGUUGGUAUUUAAUCCAGCAUUCUUCUGAAUUAUCUUACAUAUAAACUUAGUUCAUCUUAAUAUGAGAAUUAUAUAAUAAAUUUGAGGAAAUCUUACAGAUUUGUUCAAAAUAUGCUUGCUGAAUAAAUAAAUUAAUAGUAUAUGCUAGCACAGUGUAUGCAUGUGUGUUGCAUGUGUGUGUAUGUGUAUAUAAUGGCUAAUUUUUAAUAUUACCUAUACUAAUGCCUCUAAAAGUUAAAUCUUGAUAUACACUAGAGCAAGAUUGUCCAACCCACAGCCCAUUGACCACAUGCAGCCCAGGAUAGCUUUGAAUGUGGCCCAAAACAAAUUCAUAAAUUUCCUGAAAACAUUAUGAGAUUUUGUUGUGAUUUUUUUGUUUUCAGCUCAUCAGCUAUUGUUAGUGUUAUUGUUAGUGUUAGUGUAUUUUAUCUGUGGUCCAAGACAAUUCUUCUUCCAAUGUGGCCCAGGGAAGCCAAAAGGUUGGAUACCCCUGCAUUAGAGUAAAUACUUUGCAUUCAUAAAUGAAAUACAAAAAAGAGUAGUAUAAUAAUUCAACAAAAUAUUUCUGCCUUUAAUACUUAUGAGACAUAUUUAACCUAAAUUUAAGCAUUUUAUUGGGCAAGUCACCAUUUCCCUUUAAAAAUUUGUAUAUUCCAAAAAAAUUAGCCAGGCACGGGGGCACGUACCUGUAAUCCCAGCUACUCAGGAGGCUGAGGCAGGAGAAUCACUUGAACUCAGGAGGCAAAGGUUGCAGUGAGCUGAGAUGGUGCCACUGCACUCCAGCUGGGUGACAGAGCAAGACUCCGUCUCAAAAAAAAAUAUAUGUAUAUUCAUAAUUACAAAAUCUCAUUCCCCUUUAAAACCAUUUUGGUCACCCUGAGAAACCUGAGAUAGUUUUGCAACACUAGUUGGUCAUAUCCUCUGGUUGUUGGCUCCUGAAUAAACCUGCAUUUCCUCUCAUCAACACUUCUCUUUCGAGUUUGGCUUUCGAGCAGCAAGCAGCUGAACCUGGGUUAAGUUACAAUUUUUGGUGCCCAACAUGGGAUUGUAAACUUCAAGUGGUCUAGCUUGCCUGGUAUCCAACAGAUGGAGCAACUGGGAACAGCAGCGUUCACACUACCAAGCAAAGCAUCAAUCACUUUGAAUGCAAGCUACUUGUUGCUAGCUGACCCCAUAGCUGGGAUUCUAGAGACACCCCAGCUGCCAAAAUUGCUUUGGCUUGGGGGAUCUCCCUUCUUUCCUCUUCCCAGCAUCAGCUGCCUGCAACACUUCACUGGUGUUAGGAAAAGUGGUGUGUCUGGGGAAGCUGACAUGCUCCAGGACUGAGUAGGUCACUCUGGUGUGUAGAGUUAACAACUCCUUUUACCUCGUAUUUGGGUUUUUCCUUGGAAUAAGCCACUUUGUGUAUUGACUGGAGUACCCUAUUGGAGAGGGGAAUAGCUAUUGGAUUUUUCUUUUUUUUUUAGAUGAAGUCUCCCUCGGUCGCCCAAGCUGGAGUGCAGUGGUAUGAUCUCGGCUCACUGCAAGCUCCACCUCCCGGGCUCGUGCCAUUCUCCUGCCUCACCGUCCCGAGUAGCUGGGACUACAGGCACCUCCCACCAUGCCCAGCUAAUUUUUUUUUUUUUUGUAUUUUUAGUAGAGACAGGGUUUUACUAUGUUAGCCAGGACAGUCUCCAUCUCCUGGCCUUGCGAUUCGCCCACCUCGGUCUCCCAAAGUGCUGGGAUUACAGGCAUAAGCCACUGUGCCCGGCCAGCUAUUAGAUUUUUACCCAAUUUGAGAACCAGUUCAUUUGCAUUUGUCUUCCAGUUGUCUUUGUGGGCUCUGGGGUUACAUCUUUAAAAAAAUGGGAAAGUUAAAAGACAUGCCAGGUUUUCUGGGACUCUAGAUGGUUAUAUACUAUGGCCCAUUUUUGCACAUUUUAAACUGAUCAGCAAAUUACAGCAAGAAAAAUUCAGAACUCAAAUGGUUAACUUGCAAUUAUAGAGUUAAGUAAAGUCUUCUAAAACUCUCUAUCUGUUUUUCUCUUUAUUUUUCUGCCUACUUUGAAUCUACUGUGAGAGGAAAUAGCUUUGUAAGCUAUUGGUGUUGGGAUAAAACUCACUGUUUAUGCUGACACCAAUUCAAGGUUACUUGGAGAUUUUGUUUUUCUUAUACAGUUAAGUCAGUUCUAGCUAAAACAUAAACACUGCAAACUCAUUUGAAACUGAAGGGAAAAGGGGGUGGUGGUAAAAGAGGCUUUUCUAAAUUAUUAAACUUCCCUGAAAUGUGCUUGACCCAAAAUUUUGGUCCACAACCUUCACUGGAUUACCAAUCAGACAAAGUUUAGCCAUGUGGACAGGUCUCAAUUUUGUCAGAAAUAAUUUGGAUCCAGCUAUGUCUUUUAUAGGCUGGUGACUUUGUGAUGCUGUCUUAUGAUUAGAGUUCCAAGGUAAAAGAUACAGGAUCUUUGAUUUUGUGUGUAUAUGUGUUCAUAUGUGUAUGUACAUGUAUUAUGUUAAAGUCAUGUCCAGCAUGUUGCCA